GGGCGUUCAGUCUCUGGAUAUAGACCCGAAACCAGGUGAUCUAGCCAUGGGCAGGUUGAAGGUUGAGUAACAUCAACUGGAGGACCGAACCGACUAAUGUUGAAAAAUUAGCGGAUGACUUGUGGCUAGGGGUGAAAGGCCAAUCAAACCUGGAGAUAGCUGGUUCUCCCCGAAAGCUAUUUAGGUAGCGCCUCGGACGAAUACUACUGGGGGUAGAGCACUGUUAAGGCUAGGGGGUCAUCCCGACUUACCAACCCUU
rnacentral:rRNA from 1 species